rnacentral:rRNA from 1 species
CAGUCGCCGCGGGAAUACGUAGGUGGCAAGCGUUGUCCGGAAUUAUUGGGCGUAAAGGGCUCGCAGGCGGUUUCUUAAGUCUGAUGUGAAAGCCCCCGGCUCAACCGGGGAGGGUCAUUGGAAACUGGGAAACUUGAGUGCAGAAGAGGAGAGUGGAAUUCCACGUGUAGCGGUGGAAUGCGUAGAGAUGUGGAGGAGCACCAGUGGCGAAGGCGACUCUCUGGUCUGUAACUGACGCUGAGGAGCGAAAGCGUGGGGAGCGAACAGGAUUAGAGACCCCUGUAGUCCCUGUCUCUUAUAC